GGGAGAGGGUGCCCCUUGGCGUUCGCUGAGGAAAUUGCACGCGCCUGUUGACCCAGGGAAAGCGCUGAGAAAGCAUCUCACUCCUGAUCUAACUUUACUUAUUUUUUCCGAGAUAAUUCCAACUAAAUUAUUUCAGCUACAUACGCCUUUCCAUUGUUUCGGACACGAUGAUUAAAUCAGAGAGCGAUGGUGAAUAGACCACAGAGCACUUAGAUCAACUGCGUGACGAAAAAGGAGACCUGUGUGUUGCUUCUCAAACUUUGCUGCCCUGUGGAAUCACCUGGAGAGUUCAAAACAUAUAUAUUGAUUCUUGGGUCCCACCUCUAGAGACUCUGAUUUAAUUGGAACAGGACAGGAUCUGGUCUGGGCAUUGAGGUACUGACAGCACAUGGCAC
rnacentral:lncRNA from 10 species